rnacentral:rRNA from 1 species
AUACGGAGGGUGCAAGCGUUAAUCGGAAUUACUGGGCGUAAAGCGCGCGUAGGCGGUUUAGUAAGUCGGAUGUGAAAGCCCUGGGCUCAACCUGGGAAUUGCAUUCGAUACUGCUGGACUAGAGUAUGGUAGAGGGAAGUGGAAUUUCCGGUGUAGCGGUGAAAUGCGUAGAUAUCGGAAGGAACACCAGUGGCGAAGGCGACUUCCUGGGCCAAUACUGACGCUGAGGUGCGAAAGCGUGGGGAGCAAACAGGAUUAGAUACCCGAGUAGUCC